rfam:Enterobacteriaceae bacterium symbiont of Maconellicoccus hirsutus isolate DEMHIR genome assembly, chromosome: I
GGGGCUGAUUCUGGACUCGACGGGAUUUGCAAAGCUUAAGGUGCAUGCCGAGGUGAAGUUGGCCUCGUAAAAAACUCAAAAAAUAAUUGCAAACGACUCGCAAUUUGAAUCUAACGCUGCUUUAGCAGCUUAAUCAGCUUAACAAACUGAAGAUUCCCUCUCUCCCUAGCCUCCACUCUUAGGACGGGGAUUAAGAGAGGUCAAAUCUAAAAGAGAUCGCGCGAAGGUCCUGCCUGGGAUUGAAGCGUUAAAAUCAAUCAGGCUAGUCUGUUAGUAGCGUGUCUGUUCGCAACUGAUAGAUGAACGUAAAAACUGGACUAAGCAUGUAGUACCGAAAGAAUAGGAAUUCCGGACGCGGGUUCAAAUCCCGCCAGCUCCACUA